AAUUUCUGCCAGGGACACUAUGCAUGACAUGUUUCGUCAACAUAAACAUCAAUUCCAUUCAGCAGCGCCACCCUGUCUCUACCGAACAGCAACACAGAGACCCAGCCCCCUACACCACGAGCCAUUGACAGUACCCCGACACCAUCACAACGUGGAACAUAGCAGUGCAGUGCCUACCGUGAUGAAGCCCUUGCACACAAGUUGCGGACACCGACACGGUACCUGGCUCGAACAUGUAUAAGACACGAUGCAGGAAUGCCCCAGCGAUCGAGAGAUGUGCCACCUUCAUGACUGCAGUUGACAGCACAGGCCGCACAACAAACGAUGGCCACUGCAGUUAUAUACGCAGCCACUACCGAACACACCAACCGACUACCGACUACCGAACACUAACCAAAGUACAACGAUCACGUCCGCCAGAAUCGCCAGAAUACGUUCUGUUACCUCCUCAACAUGGUAAACGCCGCCGCGAAACACCUUUGUUGCGACCAUAUGUCUCCGUGACCGUUACGCGACGUGCGUUACGCGUGACCGCUACGCGCGCUCCUAGCGCCCUCUGCACCCGCCCGCCCGGCCGUCAUGGAGGGGGCCAUCUCCUCGCGGGCGGUUUCGGUUUCGCUCUCUGCUCCUUCCACUUCGCGCGCUCCUAGCGGCGACGGGUGGCUUCUCCGUUUCAGUGUGGCUAUCAUUGCUUUGCGCGUUUUUAUUUGUAUUUGUAUAAGGCAGCGCGCACUGCGCUUGCAUCAUCAAUACGUGAACAUGAUCCACUCAUUACAAAAUUGUUCCCGCGCCCACGGUUCUUAGGAAGAAGUGGAGAAUGAAUGUUUCAACAACGAAAAUCCCCGCAACUAGCUCGUCAUCACUGCUUUUCGCAACGUGAUAGAAUUGGUAGGCUUUGGCAAUAUAGGAGAGAUCUCUCCGAGCCCGCUGCAGGAUAUGGUGCGUCGAAUCUACGCCCGUUAUAAGGACGUCUGUAUAACGGUUCUGGACGGACCCCUGGGACCGAUGAGCGAAUUUGUGAGCUUGGCCAACGCAGAAUUCAACUACAUCGCUGCAGACAUCGUGGACCUUCUCGCUCGUGCUAUCGCUCACAUUAAGCACGCCCUGCGGAAGCAGCGACAUUUGCAAGCAGUCUACAUCGUGAACUUUGUCACCGAUUUAUUGAAAUACCAUUUGGUUAUCGAAAUGCAACGCAUUAAACAGUCCGAAUAACUUU